UCGAUGUGGCCGACGGCCCGGUCGGCCGAGGCCUUCCGCGCCUCGCGGACUGACGCCAGGUGCACCCGGGCGAGCUCCGCCUCGUACACCGUCC
rnacentral:tRNA from 1 species